UGCUUCCAUUCCAGCCACGUGUUUCCAUAGCAACCUUAAAUGGGGCCGAGACCAGAUCACUAGAGCUUUCCACAUUCUGGUUUGAGGCUCCUGCCCCUCUCUGUGCUGAUCAGUGGGUUUUAAGAGUGAGAUCAACCAGGCGAAGAGCUAUCUAAGCCUGAGUGUGUAUGCUGGCAACAACAGAGAGGUGCAGACAGACAGAGGGACAAGCUGAUCGCAGCACCUCAGAAUCCAUUGGGUGUCAGGUGCUGGUUUGCGCACAAGUUCUGUGGGGUGUGCUAUCUCAAUUAUUCACCCUUUUCCAUGUAACUUUUGUUAAGAACAAAUUAUAUUUAUCUUUUAAUGAAAGUUUGUCAUUUUGAAAACAGAUUAGGCACAUAUCUAUAUUCCCAUAAGUCUAGUUUAUAUCGAUGAAAAAUAUUCAUCAACCGCACCAUCAGCUUGCCAGACGAAUGUAAGAAACGGGAUGGUAAGAUGGGUUUCUACCUCACCCCGCUGCUACGUCAGAAUUAGUAAAUGACAGAGUAGAUGAGUAGAGUGUCACAGAACAGCGUUGCUCACUGCACAACAUGAAGACUAGCUCUCUGGGGCCUGGAGCACUGAGGGAGGAGGCUGCAGAAGGUUGUGAUGUUGCCUGCUCUGCUCUCUAAAGCACCCGCCAUUCAAAUCGAAGCUAUGUGUCAGGAGACGUAUUGGAGAGGUGACUCAGAGGUCCUGAGUUCAAGUCCCAGCAACCACCUAGUAGCUCACAGUCAACUGUAAUGGGAUCCGAUGCCCUCUCCUGGUGUGUCUGAAGACAGCUACAGUGUACUCAUAUACAUAAAAUAAAAAUCUUUUAAAAAUUUUGUCCUAUA